UUCAUCUAACUUGAAAGGUUAUAUUUAAUUAAAUGGGAUUCAAGUUUGAACAGUUCCCCUUCAUUUACUAGUCGCGAUUUCUUUGCAGUUCAAACAAUUUGGGGACGAGACCACAACCUAGGUCUCACGAUUCCGACUGGAGUAGUCGUAUGGACAUCCAAUUAAUAGAAAUUACAUGAUGGUGGUGGUCAAUCGAAUACUCACAGUAUCAUCAAGUGGUGGCCGAUCGGGGUUCCAUAGCAAUGACAACAAGCAGAGAUAGCGGCGGAGGGUGGCUAAGGCUCAUCAACGACGGUGGCGGUCGGAGGUUGUCUCUGCGACAACAGCAGACAGUGAGGGCCGGACAUGUCGGGAAGAUCGUGUUCUAAGCGUGUUUUGUACCGGGAACCUUGGAGUCGACCUGAGGUUGAUGGAGAAGCAAGGAAAAGGCGACUGGAAGCUGUUUGAGAGUCGAAUAAAUGAAAGCAGGAAGGAAAAAUGGUGGUGGUCGCUGCUUCUUCUUCUCCAGUGAACUAUGCCAACAGGGGCCUGUUUAUGAUCGUGGGUUGCAUCAACUAGCCAUGGCGGUGGUUUGGCGGUGAUUGGAUCAGUCUGUCAUCAAAAAUAGAAGGAAGGUGGGAGGUUGGGUUGAAGAAGCUCGGUGAUGGCGAUGGUUUGCUAGCGGUGGCAGCCUCCUGCUGUCACCGUUCCUCUCCUGUUGCGAGAAUGAGAGAGAGGAAACAGUUGGAUCGAAUGGGAUAGGUGAAGCGGCAACAUCAAUGAUCUUCAGGGGUGUUUGGCUGGUUAACUCGACGGGAAAGAGGGAUGGAGGGAAUAGCUGAUAUUCGUUUCCUCCCCUCCACUGAUCAGGGAAGUGAAGGAGAAGAAGAACAGCAACAAAACCUUAAGGUGUUUUGGGUGUUACUGUGAAACCCGUGGGGAAGAAGAAAGAUCGAAAGAGUGUUGUUGCCGUCUUGAAUGAGUCACUGGCAGCAGUUGAAGGACAAACAGGAGAAAUAUUUCCGUGUGAAUUUGUUUAAGUUGAAGGUUAGACUUAUCAAUUUGAGGAGUACAAAAAUUGAUAGUGUACUUGUUUGGCAAGCUGUCAAUUGAAAGGGUAAAGAAUAUAAAGAAUAUAAGUUUCAUUUCAGUAUAAUGUAUUUGUUUCUUUAUGAAAUGUGUAAAAUUUGUAAUUAACAAAUUUCCAUGUGUUUUAUUUGGUUUGAAUUUAAAAGCAAUGCAAUACCUUAAUUAUUUAUGUA